rnacentral:miRNA from 1 species
UACCCUUACCUGGGGAACCCCUCUUAAGCUCCAUGGCAACCGGGGAACCCAUUUUCCUGCAAACAUGACAGCAAGUCUGUGUUGUUUGGCCAGUCCUAGUGC